ACGCUUCCGAACGCGUGAGGAAACCGCUCGACCUGCUACCUCAGCUGCGGGAGGAGGAGGCGGCGGCGGAGAAGCCAGGGCCGCUGUGGAGGCCCAGCGGGGUGGGGGGUGGGGGGGGGUGGGGAGACGGGGCGGGGUGGGGGAGGGGACGGGCACGCGGCUCGGGCUUCUCUUCCCCUCCAAGGCCUCGGAAAAACCAGUGAACCAGGAGCCCGGGGAGGCCGGGCCCACGGCCGGAGCGGUCCUCCGGGAAUUUUAUUUUAUUUUUUGUCGCCCACUUUGUCUAUUGGCUUCCGUUUCAGUUUGGGAGCGAAUCGCCUCGGGCCCUGACGGGGCUCCUGUCUUAGCCAGGGCUAGGAUCGGUCGGCCCGGAGGCCCUUGUCUCCUCGGGGCCUCCAGAGCCACCUCUCAGUAGGUUUCCGGGGCCGAGGACUCAAGUGCCUCCAGGCUGCGCCUUGAAAGUAGCCUGCGCCCACUCUUGGAGCGAGGUGCGGGCCACCAACGGAUUUCUUUUCUGUCUGGUAGUCUAGUGCCAGCCGCCAAAAGAACGGGCCCCACCCCUCCUUGAGUUUAUCGAGUGGCCACUUUUUUGGUUUUAAAGCACCUUUCCUGCUUGUUGGAGCUAGUGAUGAGUUUCACCGUCUGAUCCCCUUUCCGAUUGGGAGGGAUGCUGUAAAGGAUCUCUCCAUUCAUUCUAGGCGGCACCAGCCUUCUUCAUAUUAAAAUAUGCUGCCCUCCUUUUGUUUUCAGUAUUGAUUUUUAAAUACAGUUUUCGAAAUAAGAGUAUGAAGGUUAUCUUGAAGUUAUGUAAUAAUGGAUUUAUAUUGACGUGGAAAUGCCAUUUUGAUACAGGUCAGAGUAAAGCCGACCAAAAGGAGGGAAAAGAUUGGGCUUCUCUUGUAUCAUAGUGCUUUAGUGAAAUAAGGUGAAUCAGGUAGAGGCAGUAUUGUAUAAACAGUUUUUUUGUGUGUUGUCUGUGAGCACCCUCAAUUUCAGUUUCUCUUCAGUUUAAAAAUCUCUUGUUUUUUUUCCCCACAAGUAAGAGGGUCGCUGUAUGAUAUUGAUUCUUGUAAGCCUGUAUAUAGAUUUAAGAAAGGUUGAUAGUUUAACGGGGAGUAUUCACACCACGAAUGUAAUUUUGUGAGAACUUUAAUUUUUUUAUAAAAGAUAUUUCAAAGAGUUCAGUGUUCUCAUAAGACAUUCAAUUGCUCAGUUGUGAUUCAAGCAGACAAUGUGCUUAUUAAACUUUUUUAAGUCUUGAUUUUCUUCAUCAGUAAAAUGAGAGUUACAUUUCGAUCCACUUCACAGGUUGGACUUUGGGACUGGAAAAAAUGUAUGUAAAAUGCUCACUAAAAUUUUGUAUAACAUGAUGUUGGCUUAUACUAAUAAAUGGUGUUACUUAAGAAUU
rnacentral:lncRNA from 1 species